rnacentral:lncRNA from 1 species
CGUACGUGUCCAUGUCGAUCUCGCACCCGCGCUUGUGGGCAUAGCGGAGGCACUCGACGCUGCCGCGCCGGACGGCGACCAGACAGGCGUCUGGAUGCAGUGGCACUCUGCCCUCCUCGUGCAGGUAGCGCAGAGAGCCAAGUCGGCCACUCUCAGAGGCGAUAAGCGUCGGGCAGUCGGGCCGCGGGCACCGCCUCUGGUCCAAGUAGGCGAGGCAUGCGACGCUGCCGCCGCGGAUGGCGGCCGCAUACACGUCGACAUCGCACGCGUGGCCCGUCUCGCACAGGUAGCGCAGGCAAUCGACCUGGCCUCUAUAGGCAACACUGGUCAUGGUCUCAUGGUCGACGGGGCACCCCUGGCCGACGAGCCACCGCAGCGUCUCGAUAUUGCCCGCGCUGGCCGCCGACGCCGUGGCGCGCGCGUUGCCGCGGUGCCCCAGCGCGUACAGCGCUCUGAUGGUGGCGCCGCCGUCGUGCUUGUAGUCGUGGCCGGCCGCCUGUUUGCACAUAGUGGCGCUGUCCUUGCACGGGCCGGCACCGAUUAGGCCGGCCUUGACGAGCACGGCGAGGCAGUAAUUGUCGAUGGUGUUCAUGAGCGCGGCGCCGGCGACGGAGUCCCACGGAAAGUCGUGCGCCAAGAGCCAUUCGAGCGCCUCGUACUGGCGGUACUCGGCGGCGCCCAGGCAAAACUUGCUGAGGCGUGAGCAUUCGUAGCCCGACUCGAUAAACCAACGGUAGAGCGUGCCGUACGAGCCGAUGGCCUCCAUCAUGCACGUUUCAAUGUCCCACGCGAGACCGCGGUCGAUGACCCAUUGCAUGAGUUCGGGGUCGUCGUGGCGCACCAAGCGAGCCGCCAUGCUUGCCUUCCACGGUGCCCCUGCGCUGACGAGCGCGUCGAUUAUCUCGCGCUUCCCAGAGCGAACGGCCUCGUCCAUGUCGUUCCAGCCCCACUUGUAGCCGCGCGUCGUCAACAGGGCCACCGAUUCGGCGUCGCCCGAGCAGACGACCUGGAAGCCCGCGUCGACAUCGGCACCGAAAGGGCAGCCCAGGUCGAGUGCCAGCGCCAGGAUUCGGUAGCCACCGCCGAUCGCCGACUCGAAUGCGUCGUGGUGCCACGGACAUUCGUGGGUGAUGAGGUAGCGCAGGCACGCCAACCGUCCGUCGAGAUUGUCCUUUGCACGGGCAUAGGCCACUACAGGCCGUGGAUGUUUGAACCGAUCGGGAUCGAUGGCCACCUUUGUGGCCUUGCUGUCCCACGGGCAGCCGUGACGAUGAAGAUAGGUCAGGCAGUUGAGGCUACCGGCCGCGGCCGCGCCGGCGGCCGUAUUGGCGUCCCAAGGAAAUCCGGCGGUGUGAGCAUACUCGAGGCACGAUAGGUGUCCGCCUGCCGCCGCGGCGGUGCACACGCGCAAGUCGCUCGCGGGUGCGCUCGUCUCGUGCAGCGUAGCCAGUACGCGGGCGUGACCGGCAGAGGCCGCGGCGACGGCCAUCUCGGUGGCGUCCCACUUGCAGCCGCGCUCGAAAAAGCGCACGGCCAGGUCGAGGCGACCGUGCGCUGCCGCUUCGACGCAGGCAUUGGCCGUUUGCGCGUGUCGCCGUUCCAGCGCAUACUCGAUACAGUCGACGUGAAACAACUCGACGGCCGACGCGUAGGGAUCCUCUGCGUCGACGGUUUGGACGCACACGGGUCGCGCAUAGGUCUUUUGGUCCAGAGCGACGGCCCGCCAGCGGCGGGACACGCUCGCGGCGCCACCGUAGCGUCUGUCCAUGCACGGCAGGUGGCCCAUGAUCUGUGCGAGCAGUUCGUCGGGCAGGGCGUUGAUCCCUAUCGACUGCGACGGGAGGCCGGUGCGUUUGUGUCCGGCAGUCGGUUCGACCAAGUCCAUGGGCUCGACGGGCUGGAUGCGCCUUUUUGCCGGGCGGCCGGCACGCCUCUGGGCACGUGCCCUGCGUGUGGGACCGCGCGAGAUGCCUGCAGCGCGACCUCGCACGCAAGCCAAGGUCACGACGGGCGACGGUAUAGGCGCAGCGGGCGCGGCACCAUGAAAAGAAAAAGGCGGAGAAGAAGAGUGCGCGGCAAGCAUGUCGAUACAAAAAGGCGGGAAGGAGGUCGGCGACAGAUGGACGACUCGCCGAGAUCGGGAUUUGGGGUGUCUUGUUUUGCGUGCGGGCGUCGGUGCUGCUGCUGGUGUCGCGGUGACCGGCAGGAUUAAAAAAUAGGUCGCCUUUUUCGCAUCUUUUUUUAAAGGACGGUCGAGGGUUUUCAAUUGGUCGAUAUGUUGAUGACCUAAAAAAGGAACAAAAUGCUACAGUCCACAAAAAAAGAAAGAAAAGAAAAAGGGGCAAGGCCGGCGCGACUCGGUGCGCACCGACGCAAAGAAAAAAAAGGACAUGGCCGGUCGCGCGCGCCCUGUCUCGGGUCUCGCCCGUCGGGUCGCCUCCGACACGCGCAAUCACACAGCCAGCAAGACAACCCAUAAUAAAAGGGUGGGAGACG